CCCUUAGAUGUUCUGGGCCGCACGCGCGCUACACUGAUUCAUGCAACGAGUUUUGUCCUUGGCUGAAAGGCCUGGGUAAUCUUUUAACGUGAAUCGUGCUGGGGAUAGAUGAUUGCAAUUAUUCAUCUUCAACGAGGAAUUCCUAGUAAACGCAAGUCAUCAGCUUGCAUUGAUUACGUCCCUGCCCUUUGUACACACCGCCCGUCGCACCUACCGAUUGAAUGGUCCGGUGAAAUCUUCGGAUCUGAGAGAUGUUGGAUUAAUUUCUGACGCCUUUUGGAAAAGUCGCUUAAACCUUAUCAUUUAGAGGAAGGUGAAGUCGUAACA
rnacentral:rRNA from 1 species